rnacentral:rRNA from 1 species
AUUGAACGCUGGCGGCAUGCCUUACACAUGCAAGUCGAACGGUAACGCGGGGCAACCUGGCGACGAGUGGCGAACGGGUGAGUAAUGUAUCGGAACGUGCCCAGUUGUGGGGGAUAACUGCUCGAAAGAGCAGCUAAUACCGCAUACGACCUGAGGGUGAAAGCGGGGGAUCGCAAGACCUCGCGCAAUUGGAGCGGCCGAUAUCAGAUUAGGUAGUUGGUGGGGUAAAGGCUCACCAAGCCGACGAUCUGUAGCUGGUCUGAGAGGACGACCAGCCACACUGGGACUGAGACACGGCCCAGACUCCUACGGGAGGCAGCAGUGGGGAAUUUUGGACAAUGGACGCAAGUCUGAUCCAGCCAUGCCGCGUGCGGGAAGAAGGCCUUCGGGUUGUAAGCCGCUUUUGUCAGGGAAGAAAAGGCUCCUUCUAAUAUAGGGGGCUCAUGACGGUACCUGAAGAAUAAGCACCGGCUAACUACGUGCCAGCAGCCGCAGUAAAAC